GUUAAUAUGAGCAAUGCUAUGGCCUACUGAAUAUAAUGAGUAAGUCAUGGUAAUGCUAAGUGUGCAAGUAACUUAUUGCAUAUAUAACUUAUAUUUUAUAUGCGAUCUGAAUUAUUUGGCUCGGAUUUUUCUUGCAGAAAUAAUUUUAAAGUGAAAUUUUCCGUAAGUUAUAAAGAGACAUCGUUAAGCAAUGGAACGUCAAGGCAAAGCGAACAACGACAACAAGUCUAACCAAUGCAACCCAAACAACGAUAGACACCAAGGGCAUCAACCUGGAUACGGAGGAGAUGGAACCAAAGCAGAUCGGGAUAAUCAUGGAAAUCAAUUAAACCCGAACAACCAAAAUUACCAACCAAAGAAAUAGAAUAUGUGCAACCAGAAAUUUCUGAUCAAUCCGUGUUACAAAUUUGGAAUAAAAAUACAAGUAGUAUAAAGUACUUGCAUAAAAACAUGUUUAAAUAAAACAAAAAAUAAACC